UCUCUUACAUAAAAAAAAUUAACUUGUCUCCAUUUGUUCCUAGCUGCUACUGGAUAGUCGGUAAGAAACUCUUUAUUUUUACCUUACCAUGAUUAUGCAUUAAUUGGAAACGACUGGAAACUUUGGAGGACAUCAUCUUGCUUGCAAGGUGUAGAUUGUUCAGUGUAUUUCAAUUUUGCAUGAUUUGAUCGAGAUGGUAAAUCAUGCUAGAUAAAACUGGCCUACAACAUGAGAGGACAAUUUAGGUUUGGAAGGCAUGUGGGAAUUAGAAUUCUUAGCCCCAGUUGUGCCAUGCUGAACCCAUUGAAGUGAACAAAGGAACAUAACUCUCAUCACAUAGGACAUGUGUGUUCCAAACCUCCUACACACAUCCAGAAACCUCCACCUUUGAGUUCAUAUAUUCAAAUUAAUUUUCGUCGAUCGGUAUCAUGAGGAUCAAGGACACUGGGAGUUUGAGCACCACAAAGGUUCGGAAGACAUUGGGAAUACAAGGGUCUUAUCUUUCU
rnacentral:lncRNA from 1 species